AGCCAUGUCAGUUUGAAACACUGGUUCUCGUACGAUCACCGAAGUUAAGCAACAUCGAAUCUAGUCAGUAUCUAGAUGGGUGAGCGCUUGGGAACCCUUGU